AACGAACGCUGGCGGCAGGCCUAACACAUGCAAGUCGAGCGCACCUUCGGGUGAGCGGCGGACGGGUUAGUAACGCGUGGGAACGUGCCCUUCUCUACGGAAUAGCCUCGGGAAACUGAGAGUAAUACCGUAUACGCCCUUCGGGGGAAAGAUUUAUCGGAGGAGGACCGGCCCGCGUUGGAUUAGGUAGUUGGUGGGGUAAUGGCCUACCAAGCCGACGAUCCAUAGCUGGUUUGAGAGGAUGAUCAGCAACACUGGGACUGAGACACGGCCCAGACUCCUACGGGAGGCAGCAGUGGGGAAUCUUAGACAAUGGGGGAAACCCUGAUCUAGCCAUGCCGCGUGAGUGACGAAGGCCCUAGGGUCGUAAAGCUCUUUCAGCUGUGAAGAUAAUGACGGUAGCAGCAGAAGAAACCCCGGCUAACUCCGUG
rnacentral:rRNA from 1 species